CAUUCUCAGUGCUCAUCCACCCCCAUCUGCAAUCUCAUCCUCUCCGCCAUGUCUGCCUCGUCAUCAACUUCUCUCCCCGUCCCACGGGAUUGGCCCCUCCCUCUCAUGCCUUGCCCAUUCUGCGGGGACCAGGUCGUCACGAACGUAGCGAGAUCUGGUCAGCAGGCAGGGGAUCGGUUCUACAAAUGCGUGUUGUACGAUCUGGAGUAUCUCUUUCCUUUUUCGUCUAGCUUCCUUCCUUGCUGCUCUGAUAAUAUCUAAUUGACUAUCAUUAGAUUCUACUGUCGCAAGCUGUGAGGUUCCUUGCUUAGGUACCACAUUGUUUUGAAGGAUGUUGUCUGGAUCAAUCAGUUUCCUGGAAAUAUUCCUGUUCUCCUACUGAUAGUAUGCCAACAAAGAAUUUUAGAUCAUGUACAUGUGUUAUUACCUUUUAAGCAAAGGACAUACUAUAUGGUUUGUAAUUGGCAAACUAAUUUUGAUGUUUGUUCAUCAAUUUCUCUGUAGUUGCAAUUAACAAAACAUAUGUGAUGAGAUUACGGAGUUGAUGCAUAUAAUAGUGGAAGUUGGUAAUGAAUA